rnacentral:rRNA from 1 species
CGCGCAGGCGGUUUGUCAAGUCAGAUGUGAAAGCCCACGGCUUAACCGUGGAAGUGCAUUUGAAACUGGCAGACUUGAGUAUCAGAGGGGAAAGUGGAAUUCCCGGUGUAGAGGUGAAAUUCGUAGAUAUCGGGAGGAAUACCGGUGGCGAAGGCGACUUUCUGGCUGAAUACUGACGCUGAGGCGCGAAGGUGUGGGUAGCAAACAGGAUUAGAUACCCUGGUAGUCC